rnacentral:rRNA from 1 species
AAAGUUCUCCCUCAGGGCACCCAAACCCCAUUCCCUGCAAGGAAGGCCCAGCUUUUUUGGUUCCUCAAUUGCGAAACGGGUGAGUAAACCCGGGGGGGAUUUUGCCCCUGCACUUUUGGGAUAAGCCUGGGAAACUGGGUCUAAUACCGGAUAUGACCAACUGUCGCAUGGUGGUUGGUGGAAAGCUUUUGCGGUGUGGGAUGGGCCCGCGGCCUAUCAGCUUGUUGGUGGGGUAAUGGCCUACCAAGGCGACGACGGGUAGCCGACCUGAGAGGGUGAUCGGCCCACACUGGGACUGAGACACGGCCCAGACUCCUACGGGAGGCAGCAGUGGGGAAUAUUGCACAAUGGGCGCAAGCCUGAUGCAGCGACGCCGCGUGAGGGAUGACGGCCUUCGGGUUGUAAACCUCUUUCACCAGGGACGAAGCGUGAGUGACGGUACCUGGAGAAGAAGCACCGGCCAACUACGUGCCAGCAGCCGCGGUAAUACGUAGGGUGCGAGCGUUGUCCGGAAUUACUGGGCGUAAAGAGCUCGUAGGCGGUUUGUCGCGUCGUCUGUGAAAUUCUGCAACUCAAUUGCAGGCGUGCAGGCGAUACGGGCAGACUUGAGUACUACAGGGGAGACUGGAAUUCCUGGUGUAGCGGUGAAAUGCGCAGAUAUCAGGAGGAACACCGGUGGCGAAGGCGGGUCUCUGGGUAGUAACUGACGCUGAGGAGCGAAAGCGUGGGUAGCGAACAGGAUUAGAUACCCUGGUAGUCCACGCCGUAAACGGUGGGUACUAGGUGUGGGUUCCUUUUCACGGGAUCCGUGCCGUAGCUAACGCAUUAAGUACCCCGCCUGGGGAGUACGGCCGCAAGGCUAAAACUCAAAGGAAUUGACGGGGGCCCGCACAAGCGGCGGAGCAUGUGGAUUAAUUCGAUGCAACGCGAAGAACCUUACCUGGGUUUGACAUACACCAGACGCGGCUAGAGAUAGUCGUUCCCUUGUGGUUGGUGUACAGGUGGUGCAUGGCUGUCGUCAGCUCGUGUCSUGAGAUGUUGGGUUAAGUCCCGCAACGAGCGCAACCCUUGUCCUGUAUUGCCAGCGGGUUAUGCCCGGGAACUUGCAGGAAGACUGCCCGGGGUCAACUCCGAAGAAAGGUGGGGGAUGACCUUCAAGUCAUCAUGCCCCCUUAUGUCCAGGGGCUUCCCACAU